rnacentral:rRNA from 1 species
AAUGAACGCUGGCGGCGUGCCUAAUACAUGCAAGUCGAGCGAACAGACGAGGAGCUUGCUCCUCUGACGUUAUCGGCGGACGGGUGAGUACCACGUGGAUAACCUACCUCUAAGACUGGGAUAACUUCGGGAAACCGUAGCUAAUACCGGAUAAUAUAUUGAACCGCAUGGUUCACUAGUGAAAGACGGUUUUGCUGUCACUUAUAGAUUGAUCCGCGCCGCAUUAGCUAGUUGGUAAGGUAACGGCUUACCAAGGCAGCGAUGCGUAGCCGACCUGAGAGGGUGAUCGGACACACUGGAAGUGAGACUGGUUCCAGACUCCGACGGGAGGCAGCAGUAGGGAAUCUUCCGGGAUGGGCGAGAGCCUGACGGAGCAACGCCGCGUGAGUGAUGAAGGUCUACGGAUCGUAAAGCUCUGUUAUUAUGGAAGAACAAAAGUGUAAGUAACUAUGCACGUCUUGACGGUACCUAAUCAGAAAGCCACGGCUAACUACGUG